GUGCUUGCUUUGGCGGCACAUAUACUAAAAUUGGAACAAUACAGAGAAGAUUAGCAUGGCCCUUGUGCAAGGAUGAUACGCAAAUUCGUGAAGCGUUCCACAUUUUU
ensembl:snRNA U6 U6 spliceosomal RNA